rnacentral:rRNA from 1 species
GGGGGGGGGGGGGGGGGGGGGGGGGGGGGGGGGGGCGGGGGGGGGGACGGGGGGCUGGCUUCUCUGGUGUUAGCGGCGGACGGGUGGGUAACACGUGGGUAACCUACCUAUAAGACUGGGAUAACUUCGGGAAACCGGAGCUAAUACCGGAUGAUCUUUUGAACCGCAUGGUUCAAAAGUGAAAGACGGUCUUGCUGUCACUUAUAGAUGGAUCCGCGCUGCAUUAGCUAGUUGGUAAGGUAAUGGCUUACCAAGGCAACGAUGCAUCGCCGACCUGAGAGGGUGAGCGGCCACACUGGAACUGAGACACGGUCCAGACUCCUACGGGAGGCAGCAGUAGGGAAUCUUCCGCAAUGGGCGAAAGCCUGACGGAGCAACGCCGCGUGAGUGAUGAAGGUCUUCGGAUCGUAAAACUCUGUUAUUAGGGAAGAACAUAUGUGUAAGUAACUGUGCACAUCUUGACGGUACCUAAUCAGAAAGCCACGGCUAACUACGUG